rnacentral:rRNA from 1 species
CCUACGGGAGGCAGCAGUGGGGAAUAUUGGUCAAUGGGCGCGAGCCUGAACCAGCCAAGUAGCGUGAAGGAUGAAUGCCCUACGGGUUGUAAACUUCUUUUAUAAAGGAAUAAAGUGAGGCACGUGUGCCUUUUUGUAUGUACUUUAUGAAUAAGGAUCGGCUAACUCCGUGCAAGCAGCCGAGGUAAGACGGAGGAUCCGAGCGGUAGCCGGAAUGACUGGGUUUAAAGGGAGCGUAGAUGGGUUGUUAAGUCAGUUGUGAAAGUUUGCGGCUCAACCGUAAAAUUGCAAUUGAUACUGGCAGCCUUGAGUACAGGUGAGGUAGGCGGAAUUCGUGGUGUAGCGGUGAAAUGCUUAGAUAUCACGAAGAACUCCGAUUGCGAAGGCAGCCUACUAAACUGCCACUGACAUUGAUGCUCGAAAGUGUGGGUAUCAAACAGGAUUAGAUACCCGUGUAGUC